CCUACGGGAGGCAGCAGUGGGGAAUUUUGCACAAUGGGCGCAAGCCUGAUCCAGCUAUUCCGCGUGUGGGAAGACGGCCUUCGGGUUGUAAACUACUUUUGUAGAGAACGAAAAGUCUGUUGAUAAUACCGAUAGACGAUGACGGUACUCUAAGAAUAAGCACCGGCUAACUACGUGCCAGCAGCCGCGGUAAUACGUAGGGUGCGAGCGUUAAUCGGAAUUACUGGGCGUAAAGGGUGUGCAGGCGGUUUUGCAAGUUAGAUGUGAAAGCCCCGGGCUUAACCUGGGAAAGCCAUACAAUACUGGAAGACUAGAGUGCCGCAGAGGGGGGUGGAAUUCCAAGUGUAGCAGUGAAAUGCGUAGAUAUCUGGAAGAACACCGAUGGCGAAGGCAGCCCCCUGGAA
rnacentral:rRNA from 1 species